GACGAACGCUGGCGGCGUGCUUAACACAUGCAAGUCGAGCGGAGCGGCGAACGGGUGAGUACCGCGUGAGUAACGGCCCCCCCCUCCGGGAUAACAGUUGGAAACGGCUGCUAAUACCGGAUAGGGGGGGAUGACUCCCCUCCUAUCAGCUUGUUGGUGGGGUAGUGGCCUACCAAGGAGACGACGGGUAGCCGGCCUGAGAGGGCGACCGGCCACAUUGGGCUGAGGUACGGCCAGAACGACUACGGGAGGCAGGAGUGGGGAAUAUUGCACAAUGGGGGAAACCCUGAUGCAGCGACGCCGCGUGCGGGAUGACGGCCUUCGGGUUGUAAACCGCUUUCAGCCAGGACGCGGUAGUGGCAGAAGAAGCACCGGCUAACUACGUGCCAGCAGCCGCGGUAAUUC
rnacentral:rRNA from 1 species